AUGCACUCCUGUCAACAGGAGAGCAGCCCCCUGCUGGUCUUAGCACACACAGGAUGUUGUGGAAAAGGAGGGACAUAAAAGUGGUGCUUCAUAGCACAACACACAGUCUGAGCUCUGCAAAGCCAGGAACACCUGGCCCAUCAACUCUCAGCAAGUCAGCGUGAAAAUGGGUCAUUCAGAGCUGCUGUAUUCACAGAUCAGGAACCUGAGACAGAAUGUGGAUAAUCAUUAAGAACCAUUUGAUAUUUGAAAGAGCAGUGCAACGAACUCUCAUUUCACACACUAUAUUGGAAAUGUAAAUACAACAUCCUGCUCAAAGGGCAAAAAUGGAAAUGAAAAUCAGAGGCAUCUUAUUAUGAAUCUCUCAAGUAAUCUAAGAUAUCCUGCCCCUUGUACUCCCACACAUUUGUAAAAAAAUAUGUAAAAAAACCCCUACAGAUUCAUUAAAACUAACAAGAGUUUCAGCUUACAGAAUAAAAACAAAAUUCAUUAGAAUUUGA